rnacentral:lncRNA from 1 species
UCUUUCUGAAUCAACCACCCGACAUGCUGAGCAUUUACAACACUGAAUUGAAGUCCAGCCCUCUCCACCAAAUAUCCAUAGCCAUCGAACGCAUGCGCAUCUGAAGUACCUUUCGCAGCCGUCGGCAAGCGCAUGGUAGAGGAUGAAGAGUUGAUUUCUUCAAUUCAAGGCAAAGCACUGAUCAGUAUGCAAAUCUUGAGCCUUCAUCGGUGGAUGAUUUGCUAAUUCAGCGAACGAAAAAAAGGUUUUGGCAGACAAAUUCCAGCAAAAUCCAAGGUAUU